rnacentral:lncRNA from 1 species
UUGAAAGUAAACUAAAGCUGUUUCAACAUUGUGAUUGUUAGUAUAAGGGAUUUGGUUAGGUUUGGUUAAUCUAGCCUAAGUUAAUUAUGAGACCAGGAGGACCAGGGCCAGGACCAGGACCUGGAUGGGGUCCUCCUCUAGGUCUCGGAGGACCGCCAAUGCCAGGACCUUGUGGCUUCUUUGGUGGUUUAUGUGAUUUUAUUGGUUCUUGGUAAGUCAUUUUGGAACCAAUAUUUUUCUUCUAUAUUUCAGAAUUUUAGAUUUUUUUGAAUCUUUGAGGAGAAAAAAUAAAUAAAAUCUUUGGACUAGAAUGGUUUUGCUUUUUUUUUUUUUUUUGUGGGCGUUUGGACAUAAGAAUGGUAAAAUCCCAAAAAAGUGAAUUUGUUUUCAAGUGAAAAUGGUAUUUAAAAAUUAGAGUUGUGUUUGGACAUGAAUACAAUUUUAGGUUGUUUUUGAAUUUUUAUGAGUGAUCUAAGUGGAAGUUUUGAAAAAUAACUUUUUGGAGUUUUUCAAAUGUUCGAAAAAUUUAUCUUCAAGUGAAAAUUAAAAAUUUUAUGGCCAAAUGCUGAUUUCGAAAAAAAAAACUUAUGUCCAAACAGGCUAAUUUGGAUGUUUUUCUAUAAGUUUGUGUUUCUUGAAUGUUUAAAAGUUACUCACAAAAAUAGCACGGUCUAGCCAGUUUUCGGACUUGUCAUUUAAAAAUAGUCAGCGCUUGCCAAGUCAAUGAAAAAUAGCCACUAUUUUGCUGCAACAGAGACCGUUCCAGCAUAAUAUACUGGAGUUCGAUAUACCUGUGUAUGAACUUCCAGCAUAUUAUAUUGGACCGGUGCUCCAAACUCCAGUAUAUUAUACUAGAGUCUUUUUCCAUAUUUUGAACAUUGAUUCUUUUCAAAUUUAUCUUUACAUGAAAAGGGCUAAUUCGAUUACUUUUGAAACUAUGUCUAUUUUUGAGUGACCACUUGUAAAUCUGGCUAUUUUUUGAAUUUUUCUCACAAAUUCUUCAUGAUGCUUGAGCUUAUUGUUAUUGAAAAUGUUUUCCAUGUUUAAAUUUGAACAGCCUAGGCUUCUUCUGCUGUUGCUGGUUACUGCAAGACUGUUUUAGGGGCCUAACGGGCUUUUACGGGCCUCCAGGACCUUGUGGGCCGCCCCUGCCAUGAUCCAGUUGGUUGAUCCAUGAAGUCUAGAAAGACAUGGUACAUUAUGGGAUGAAGGAUGCUUUUAUUGAUAUUAUAUAAACUACAAAUAGGAUUGUUUACAAAAUAUAUCUUUCAUAUCUCUUUUGUAUCUGGCUUGAAAGCUUAUUUCAAUUUACAAUAUCAUGAUUGUUAAUUAGAAAAUUGUCCCUAUCAUAUUUCCAAUAAUACAGAGUGAUGUAACUAAGAACAAAGAUUUCGAAACUUCGAUUUACGUUUUGUUUUCCAACAUAUAGACUUAUGAAAUUACUCACACAUU